GACUGCUCCAGUGGCCUAGUGGUUAGAGCAUCCGCCUCAGAUGUGGAAGGUCGUGGGUUCGAUCAUCUUUCGAGUCA